rnacentral:rRNA from 1 species
AACGAACGCUGGCGGCAGGCUUAACACAUGCAAGUCGAGCGCCCCGCAAGGGGAGCGGCAGACGGGUGAGUAACGCGUGGGAAUCUACCCAUCCCUACGGAACAACUCCGGGAAACUGGAGCUAAUACCGUAUACGCCCUACGGGGGAAAGAUUUAUCGGGGAUGGAUGAGCCCGCGUUGGAUUAGCUAGUUGGUGGGGUAAUGGCCUACCAAGGCGACGAUCCAUAGCUGGUCUGAGAGGAUGAUCAGCCACAUUGGGACUGAGACACGGCCCAAACUCCUACGGGAGGCAGCAGUGGGGAAUAUUGGACAAUGGGCGAAAGCCUGAUCCAGCCAUGCCGCGUGAGUGAUGAAGGCCCUAGGGUUGUAAAGCUCUUUCAGCACCGACGAAGCGCAAGUGACGGUAGGUGUAGAAGAAGGACCGGCCAACUACGUGCCAGCAGCCGCCGUAAUAC